UACGAAGGGGGCUAGCGUUGCUCGGAAUCACUUGGGCGUAAAGGGUGCGUAGGCGGGUCUUUUAAGUCAGGGGUGAAAUCCUGGAGCUCAACUCCAGAACCUGCCUUUGAUGACUGAAGAUCUUGAGUUCGGGAAGAGGUGAGUGGAACUGGCGAGUGUAGAGGUGAAAUUCGUAGAUAUUCGCAAGAACACCAGUGGCGAAGGCGGCUCACUGGCCCGACUACGUGACGCUGAGGCACGAAAGCGUGGGGAGCAAACAGGG
rnacentral:rRNA from 1 species